AUACGGAGGGUGCAAGCGUUACUCGGAAUCACUGGGCGUAAAGCGCGCGCAGGCGGGCUGAUAAGUUGGAUGUGAAAGCCUACGGCUCAACCGUAGAACUGCAUCCAAAACUGUCAGUCUAGAGUCUGGGAGGGGAAGAUGGAAUUAGUUGUGUAGGGGUAAAAUCCGUAGAGAUAACUAGGAAUACCAAAAGCGAAGGCGAUCUUCUGGAACAGUACUGACGCUGAGGCGCGAAAGCGUGGGGAGCAACCAGGAUUAGAAACCCUAGUAGUCC
rnacentral:rRNA from 1 species